rnacentral:rRNA from 1 species
UACGGAGGGUGCAAGCGUUAUCCGGAAUCACUGGGGUUAAAGGGUGCGUAGGCGGCCUGGUAAGUCAGGGGUGAAAGCUUCCCGCUCAACGGGAGAACUGCCCUUGAUACUGCCAGGCUCGAAUUGGGUUGAGGCCGGCGGAAUGUGGCAUGUAGCGGUGAAAUGCUUAGAUAUGCCAUAGAACACCGAUUGCGAAGGCAGCCGGCCAAGCCUUGAUUGACGCUGAGGCACGAAAGCGUGGGGAGCGAACAGG